rnacentral:tRNA from 1 species
GCCUGGCUGGCUCAGUCGGUAGAGCAUGCGGCUCUUGAUCUCAAGGUAGUGAGUUCGGGCCCCACACUGGGCA